UACGAAGGGGGCAAGCGUUGUUCGGAAUUACUGGGCGUAAAGGGCACGUAGGCGGCUUUGUAAGUUAGAGGUGAAAGCCCGGGGCUCAACUCCGGAACUGCCUUUAAGACUGCAUCGCUAGAAUUGUGGAGAGGUGAGUGGAAUUCCGAGUGUAGAGGUGAAAUUCGUAGAUAUUCGGAAGAACACCAGUGGCGAAGGCGACUCACUGGACACAUAUUGACGCUGAGGUGCGAAAGCGUGGGGAGCAAACAGG
rnacentral:rRNA from 1 species